rnacentral:rRNA from 1 species
UCCGUAGGUGAACCUGCGGAAGGAUCAUUCACACAUUCCAACCAUUGUUUGUGCACAUAGCGGUGUGACAGUGCGUGCAAUGCUCGGUCGUUGUUCGUAUUGUUAAGGGUGGCGGGGGGGCAUGUGGGCUGCGGUCAAACAUGCUUCUUUGCCACCGUUGCAACGGUCUGCUUGAGUUACCGCUGCGUCAAUAUCUUGCCCAAACAUGUUGGGGCGAACUUUAAAUGAAAUCACAACUUCCAGUGAUGGAUGUCUCGGCUCGAAAAACGAUGAAGGGUGCAGCGAAGUGUGAUAAGCAUCGUGAAUUGCAGGAUUCAGUGAACCAAUAGGACGUUGAACGCAUAUUGCUCUUUCGGGUUAGUCCUGAAAGCAUGCUUGCUUUAGCGUCUUUCGUUUAUUUCAGCGAUUUGUGUGUUGCUUGCGCCACAUAGAUCCGCGCGUUGAUGUUUCAACAUUGCUUUGUCUAUGCUGACACAUCUGGUCUUAGGGUGUUUGCCAUGCGCAACGUUGAGAUUGUUCAUCGAAAGUCUUGCGCGUCAUCAAGCCACCCUGUUAUUUACAAACCUAUUCCAAGGCAUGAAAUUAAGCCAGAGAACCUGCUGAAUUUAAGCAUAUCAAUA